rnacentral:lncRNA from 1 species
AGGAUGCAAGUAGGACAAAAGGGCAGGUCUUAGGCAGUCUCAUGUUAUGCUUUUUUUUUUUUUUUUUUUUUUUUUUUUUUUUUGCAAAACUAACGAAACAUUCUUAAAAAUUUUAGUUUUAAUGAAAGUGAAAAAAUAAAAAUGUAAGUUAAUAGUACCAAGAGUGACUUUUCAAGGUAAAAAUAUCCUUAACGUUAAAAGUGAACAGUAACGAGAAUGUUUCAUUAAGAUUUUCUUUUUUGUUUGUUGGGGGGUUCUUGCUAAGACCUCAUAGUGAGUUCUUUAGUCAAGGCAAGUCCUCCUUAGUCCCACGAAAGCUAGUCCCGCAAGGCAACAAACAUGGACUAAACUAAUAUAACAUACAAGGACUACACUUAUAUUUAAACUAGUCCAAUCCAAUGAAAGUUAGUGAGUGCAAACAAAUGCCCUUAAAAGUAAAAGUUUUGCUCUUAAUGUGAAUGGAACCAAACAUGUUUAAAAUAUGUCUUUUGGCGUGCAAGUAGUUGGACAGAUAUUAGUAUUAAAGUGAAUAUAUUAAAUUAUUAAUUAACUGUUGUGGAGACAAAUUAAUUGAAUUCAUUUUGAAUUAAGAGGUGGUUAUAAGCACUAACACUGUGAUCUGUACGACAUGCACCUACUUGGAUCCAAGGUGAGCGUGUGGUGCAGGGUGAAUAGUAUAAGCACUAACACCAUGGGUGCAGGUUAUGAGCUCUCAACAUAAUUCACAUCAUCAUUAAAUCACAUGAACAACAUAAAACUCACCUAAUACUCACAUGUGCGUCCACAACACCAUUUAACAUAUAUGCAUCAAUUACUAAUUCACAUAUUUCAUAUAUAUGUAUGCAUGGCAUUUUAAAACAUACUUUCAUUUAAAUUCAAUUUCUGGGAAAAUCAAUAGUAUAUAGGUAUAUACAGAAAAUAACUGCCCACUCACCUGGAGUUUGCCCUAUAACUCCAUCGCACAACACAUCGAGGCGUCAUGACGAUCGGCGCCUAGAACAAUCAUCAAAUCAAACCUCAGAAAUCAUAUCGCUAGAAUAUAUAACUUAUAUAAAACACGUCACUACGCAGUUCGAUCCGAAAGAUCUGUAACUCAGACUUCCAAUCCAUAACUUCCAAAGGUCCACAAUAUAUCUCUAGAACAACAUCCUAAAAUUUUCUUACCAUCCAAUGGUCGGAUCUCCGUCAAUUGUCAAAACCAAGUGACGGUUAACAUUUUAUUUUAUGAACUUACAACUCCAAUUCCAGAAGAUCCGUAAAUUGGAUUCCCAAUCCGUAAGUUCCUAUAAUCCUAAAAUAUUACGUAUUACAACGUAUCAAAGUUUAGUGACGAUCCAACGGUCGGAUCGUCAAUUCACAUUUUCACCUAACCACGAAUCGUAACGAACUUAGGUUCAAUUACUCAAUUUACGUCAAUCAAUUAUCAAACUGAACCUAGAACAUUAAACACAUGCUAAGAAUGACAUUGGCGGGCCACUGGCCACGCGCCGCAGCACGAGCUGCCGUGGGUGGCGGUUAGCCGCCCCAGCUCGCCGGAAAAUCCAACCAUCUCCAAAAAUUACCAAAAUUUACAGAAAUGAAGAUCUCAAUGAGUAGAGUAAACUUUAUACCUGAGGCCAAAGCCAAUUUGGCUUGGAAACACUUCAAUUUUUCCAAAACCGUGAAGAACCCUAGAAAUGAGUGUGUUUCAAUUCGACCUCCAAACGUGUUCCGACGCCUCCACCACCGAUUGGGCUUUGUUCCUGGGUUCUAGGGGAGUCUAGUGGUAGUAGCAAUUUGCUGGAUUACCUUCACAAUCGUCAGAUUUUGCCAUAGCACCCUCAAAACCCAUAUUUUUGUUCUACUCGAAUUCAAGCUCAAAUCCCAUAAAAUUAGGUUGGGAAUGGAAGAGGAAAUGACUAAGGGAUGAUUGGGAAUGGUUUCUUAGUCCAAUUUCGAGAGAAAUCCGGUGGAAAACCACUGGAAAAUAUGAAGGAAUGGGAAUGGGUGCACACGGGUCGCGGGUUGGGGGAACCUGUUUUCUUCCUUCUCUCAUCCGCUUCUCACCCUCCCUCCUUUCCUCUUUUCUCUGUUCCGAUUGGCCGGUCUCCUCUCUCUCUUCUCCCCAUUCGCUGGACUCCCUCUCUGACCCUCAUGUUCCCUUCCUCUCUCUUUUC